AAAUAAAAGAAAUGAUGACCAGCACCUUUCCUUUACAGAGGAAACAAAUAGUGGAGGAUGAGCCACCUGUGGCCGACGUGAGAGCAAGAUGGCCAGCACUGUUCUCUGAACGUCAGGUAAAAGUAUUUUUUCUAUUUCAGAUGAGGUUAGGUCGGAGGAUCAGAUUUUAAACUGAUUUGCUAGAUAAUUUAUUUAAGAAUAGUUAGAGUCAUAAUAAUAAUUUGGUACACUGAAUAAAAAGAAUACAUUUAUUAAAAAAAAAUGUGUGUCAUGCAACAACAGUGAUAUAAUUGAAUUACCAUUCUAUAAUGAAGUUAUUUAUUUCAUUCUAGUCCAUAUCCAUUUUUUCAGAACAUAUUGAUUAUUUUUUUAACUCAAACAAGUAUGCAGACAUUAGUAGAAUAUAACAUCACUUGGAAUUGUUUUCUGAUUUCUGGCCUAAUAUAUCCCAUUUGUUGGUUAUUGUCUUACUGAGUUCCAAUCAAAGGCAAAGGGCAGUUGUUUUGAUGGGGCUCCCCUACUAUCUAAAAGAUGUGGCCAAACUUUACAAGAAAGUACAGGUCACAGAUGCAGAGGAGGACUGGACAAAGGGGAUGGCAGUCGGUAUCCUUGUGGUGGAACAGAAUGAUCGGUUGGUUUCGCAGUGGUCCUCGAGGAAGAAAUCAUCUUUCCAAGCAUCAGUGAUUUUCCAACUGCUGUGGCACUGCUAAUGGGUCUGCUCUUUGCCCUCAACAUAGACUACCCCAGAGGCCUUAGGUAUACUUUUGAGGUAAUUCAGAAGGUGUUUAUGGACACUGGUGGAGGGCAAUGCUCUGCAUUGGUUCAUGGGUUAAAAACCGACUCUUGAGAAAGUAAAAGUAAGCUUAAUAGCUUCUUUUUACAUUGUUGUUAGUUUUGAUGCAUUUUUUCUAAAUGCACAUUGUUCCGUUUAUGUUUUGUUAAACUUUGUAAUUUUAGCUAGCAUUCAACAAUUUACAAGUUUUAACAUUUUACUGCUUUUUGAGAAGAUUUCAUAGAGAGAGGUAGCGAGAGAUGUAGGUUGCUGGAGAGAGAUGGGUAGGUAGCUGGAGAGAGGUAGGUAGAGAGAGGGAGGUAGGUAGGGAGAGAGAGGGAGGUAGGUAGCUGGAGAGAGGGAGGUGGGUAGCUGGAGAGAGGGAGGUAGGUAGCUGGAGAGAGGAGG
ensembl:lncRNA